rnacentral:rRNA from 1 species
UACGGGGGGGGCUAGCGUUGUUCGGAAUUACUGGGCGUAAAGGGCGCGUAGGCGGUCUGCUAAGUUGGAUGUGAAAACUCUGGGCUUAACCCAGAGCCUGCAUUCAAUACUGACAGGCUAGAGUUCUGGAGGGGAUAGCGGAAUUCCUGGUGUAGCGGUGAAAUGCGCAGAUAUCAGGAGGAACACCUAUUGCGAAGGCAGCUCGCUGGGACGUAACUGACGCUGAGACGCGAAAGCGUGGGGAGCAAACAGG